UACGGAGGGUGCAAGCGUUAUCCGGAUUCACUGGGCUUAAAGGGUGCGCAGGCGGACUUGUAAGUCAGGGGUGAAAUCUCACAGCUCAACUGUGAAACUGCCUUUGAUACUGCAAGUCUUGGAUCCAGAAGAGAGUUGUGGAAUUCCGAGUGUAGCAGUGAAAUGUGUAGAUAUUCGGAAGAACACCAGUGGCGAAGGCAGCAACUUGGUCUGGUAUCGACGCUCAGGCACGAAAGCAUGGGGAUCAAACAGG
rnacentral:rRNA from 1 species